GAUGAACGCUGGCGGCGUGCCUAAUACAUGCAAGUCGAACGGUGACCCUCGGAGCUUGCUUCGGGGUGAACAGUGGCGAACGGGUGAGUAACACGUGAGUAACCUGCCCCUGACUCUGGAAUAAGCGCUGGAAACGGCGUCUAAUACCGGAUAUGACACGCCCUCGCAUGGGGAGCGUGUGGAAAGUUUUUCGGUCUGGGAUGGACUCGCGGCCUAUCAGCUUGUUGGUGAGGUAAUGGCUCACCAAGGCGAUGACGGGUAGCCGGCCUGAGAGGGCGACCGGCCACACUGGGACUGAGACACGGCCCAGACUCCUACGGGAGGCAGCAGUGGGGAAUAUUGCACAAUGGGCGAAAGCCUGAUGCAGCGACGCCGCGUGAGGGAUGACGGCCUUCGGGUUGUAAACCUCUUUCAGCAGGGAAGAAGCGAAAGUGACGGUACCUGCAGAAGAAGCACCGGCUAACUACGUGCCAGCCGCCGCCGUAA
rnacentral:rRNA from 1 species